rnacentral:tRNA from 1 species
GUUUAUAUAGUUUAAGUAAAAUAUUAGANUGUGA